GGGUCAGGGGUUGCGGACGUCCCCGCGCGGCAUUGUCCCCAGCCCGCCACCUCCCACUGCAGGUGCGGCGGCUGGUUAGUAUCGCCUCCCUACGCACCCCCGCUCCCGUUUCUGUGUCUCUUCGUGUCUCUCUUUCUCCCCUUUCUCUGAAUAUUUGUCCCCUUGUCUCUGCCCUCACCCCUUUGAGACUCCGGCCCCUUCUUUCUAGGUCUCUGCGCUCCUUUUGGGUCUCUGUCCCAUUGUUCUAUGAAUCUGUCCCCCCCUCCUUCAAAGGCUUCCCCCUCUUCUCUCUAAGCCUAAGUCUCCUCCCCCACGACCGCGUCUCGGUCUCCGCAUCCACCCCGUCUCUUUCUCUUGGCUUCUGUACCUUUUGCUAGGACUUGGGUCUCUGUUCCCUGCAAGCUCUGCCUCUCUUUGUGACUCUGUCCUCCACUCCCCCCACCCCCACCCCAGAGUGUGUUCCCUUCUCACUCUGGGUCUCUGCCGUUCCAUCUGGGUCUCUGUCCUCACCCUUGUUCUUUGACUACCUCCCUCUCUGUGUCUUUCUCCCGUCCUCCGUCUCCCCCCCGCCCCGCCUUCCCCCCUCCCCCGUCUCUUCCUCCCCGCCCCGUGCCUGCCUUUUCUUUUUACGUCCUUUGUCCCUUUCCCUUCCCUGGGUCUCCACACAACCCCAUCCCGUGCCUCUUUCAUCCUUUUCUGAAUCUCUGCCCCCUUGUUCUGGGUCUCUUUUCCCACUUUCAUUGGGACUCUGUCCUGCUGUCCUUCAGUCUCUGUCCCUCUCUCUCUGGAUCUCUGUCCCUUUCUCUCAGGCUCCCACCCCAUCACCCUCCUUAACCCUCAUCCUGGCCCGGACUCGAGGCUGCGUCACUGCAGAGAGUGGCAGAAGUGCGACCUAUCCUGCAGACCAGGGAGGUAGUUUUCCCUCAACUCUCCCACCCCCAGAUCAGGGCUCCCCCACUGCCCCCUGAUCCAGUAUCCUCGGGCAGCCUUCAAGCCCCCAUGGGACCCAGGAGGACAGAGAAAAGACAGUGGGGCUUCCUGUUCUUCUCUGCCCUGAAUUCUAAUGGCUCCCCAGGCCGAAGCAGUGACUCCCGAGCGGCCAGGCACGGGAUCAAGUUACCAAAUCAGCGUUUCUGCAGAGGUCCUCAAGGCACCAAAUUCCUGAAAGCCCCAAACUCAUCUCCAUCAUCCUUGGUGCUCCUUCCUAACUUCCCUUCCCCCAUCCCCCAAAGCCCUGGAAUUGGGGAAGGGUCUUCCCCUUUCGGACUUCUAGGGCCCUUUCCUCCACCCCUGCUCCUAUCAGUUCCAAAUCCAGGAAAGAUGAUCUCCCGGGCACUAAAGCUGAAAAUAUGGGGACUCUGCCUACGACCCUUGGUCCCUGGAGACCCUCCAAGUACAUCUCCGCUGUAAUCUUUGAGUCCCCAUCUCCCGAGUCCCCCGCUUCCAAAACUGGGAUUAGAGCUGGUUUACCGCCCCCGGACCCUGAGCCAUCUCCUCCUCCCCCGUACUCACCCCAAGUCGAGGCGGGGCGGGGAUGGGGGAAUCCGGGGCUGGCGAUGGGGGGAGGGGUGACCCAGUCUCCGCAGCUCUGGGCAGCAAGAAGCUGCGGAGGGGGGCAGUGACAUCAUCGCUGGAGGAGGGGCAGCUCAGCUCCCCUCUACCCGGGGGCUUCAAGCCCCGCCUUUAUGGCGUACUCAGGGGUCCCGGAAUAAAGGAUAGACGGGAAGAACUGGACAUGAAGUGUGCAGGAAUGGUAUCCUCUCCCCGUAGAACAAGGGUUGGAAAACCCUUUACGACUUCAGCCACCCCCCCCCCACUGCCACCUGUCGCUGCCGUCGCGACCUGUCGCCUCCCACGCGUGUUGUGGCUGCGCCCGCCUCCGUCAGGGCGUGAACACCGCCUAGACUACAAGAUCCGUGAUGCUCUGCGGUGUCGAGUGCCUUCGAGGGGAGGCAGUGCAGGCGAGGGGCUUCAUGGGCUUCGUAGUAUAAGGCCUCUGCACGGAGUGAGCCUUGGGGAAAAGGAACGAUAUCUUUCUCAUUCCUUUCUUCCUCAACUCCGGAGGGCCAGACGAUAACUUUCCCCUGCAAAGAUCAUGCGCUUAAAAAAAAAAAAGUAGAAAGAGGCGCAGGUAGGUUCAAUGGAAACAGCGGAUUUUUACUGAGUAGCGAGGCCUCGGCGAUCACCCAGUGCGCAUGCACCUAACGGGGGGGGGGGGGGGGAGUUCCUCAGCCGGAGAACUGCGCCUGC